GCCCCACUGGAUAGCUCAGUCAGUAGAGCACAAGACUCUUGAUCUCAUGUUCAGGAGUUCGAGCCCCACAUUGGGCA